GCGGAGGUAGUGCCGGGGGAAUACCCAGCGGUGCAGCUCGUACAGUGAAGCACAAUGAGCCUACAGGCAGGGCUCUGAUUCACUGUGGCUGGCCCCGCCCACCACACUCUGAGUGCACAGCAUGUAACGGCCCAGCCCCAGCCUCCCUCUUCCUGAUCCUAGAUGGAUGUGGCUGCCCUGACCUGCCUUCCCACACUGUCCCUGGGCAACAAAGCUACAAGUCUUCGGAUUGGUAUCCUCAAUAUGACCCAACAUAGACGAGUCUUCGGAUUGGUAUCCUCAAUAUGACCCAACAUAGACGCUUGGAUGAGAUGACGGAACAAUGGCUACAGAAAGCAUGAUGUCAUCCCCACUUAAAGCACACAUGGAAACGGACAAAAUGUUAAACACUGGGGAUUACACUGGGGGUCCUCAUUAAGAUAAUAAGGGAUGUAGUGAAAUGUGGACAUGGACUAUGUCAUCAUGACAUAUUCACAACAUCAACAUCUUAAUGUCGACAUGUGAAAUGCCGACAUUAUUCAAAGACCAGCAGCAGAGAGUCAGGCUGGACCCGCCAUACCAGAUCCUGAGGGUGCCUCAGCCUGCACUUUGUUCCGGCAUGCUUUUUUCCCUCCUUUAUGGCCACCAAAGGAGCCUUGCUGAAUGCAGCUGAAAGAGGACUUCUA